rnacentral:rRNA from 1 species
GACGAACGCUGGCGGCGUGCUUAACACAUGCAAGUCGAACGGAAAGGCCCUGCUUUUGUGGGGUGCUCGAGUGGCGAACGGGUGAGUAACACGUGAGUAACCUGCCCUUGACUUUGGGAUAACUUCAGGAAACUGGGGCUAAUACCGGAUAGGAGCUCCUGCUGCAUGGUGGGGGUUGGAAAGUUUCGGCGGUUGGGGAUGGACUCGCGGCUUAUCAGCUUGUUGGUGGGGUAGUGGCUUACCAAGGCUUUGACGGGUAGCCGGCCUGAGAGGGUGACCGGCCACAUUGGGACUGGGAUACGGCCCAGGCUCCUACGGGAGGCAGCAGUGGGGAAUAUUGCACAAUGGGCGGAAGCCUGAUGCAGCAACGCCGCGUGCGGGAUGACGGCCUUCGGGUUGUAAACCGCUUUCGCCUGUGACGAAGCGUGAGUGACGGUAAUGGGUAAAGAAGCACCGGCUAACUACGUG